CAGAAGUGCGAAUGCUGACAUGAGUAACGAUAAUGGGAGUGAAAAACUCCCACGCCGGAAGACCAAGGUUUCCUGUCCCAUGCUAAUCAGGGCAGGGUAAGUCGGCCCCUAAGGCGAGGCAGAAAUGCGUAGUCGAUGGGAAACGGGUUAAUAUUCCCGUACUUAUAUAAUCAGUGAUGGAGGGACGGAGAAGGCUAGGCAAGCUUGGCGUUGGUUGUCCAAGUGAAAGUGAGUAGGCUGAAGACUUAGGUAAAUCCGGGUUUUCAAGGCCGAGACACGAGACGAGCCACUACGGUGGUGAAGUUGUUGAUGCCCUGCUUCCAGGAAAAGCUUCUAAACUUAUGAUUAUAUGAACCGUACCCCAAACCGACACAGGUGGAUAGGAUGAGAAUUCCAAGGCGCUUGAGAGAACUCUGGUGAAGGAACUAGGCAAAAUAGCACCGUAACUUCGGGAGAAGGUGUGCCCCCGUUAGGUGAAGCGACUUGCUCGUGGAGCUGAAGGGGGUUGCAGUGACCAGGUGGCUGCGACUGUUUAUCAAAAACAUAGCACUCUGCAAACACGAAAGUG
rnacentral:rRNA from 1 species